GGGUGAGUAACACGUGGAUAACCUACCUAUAAGACUGGGAUAACUUCGGGAAACCGGAGCUAAUACCGGAUAAUAUUUUGAACCGCAUGGUUCGAAAGUGAAAGACGGUCUUGCUGUCACUUAUAGAUGGAUCCGCGCUGCAUUAGCUAGUUGGUAAGGUAACGGCUUACCAAGGCAACGAUGCAUAGCCGACCUGAGAGGGUGAUCGGCCACACUGGAACUGAGACACGGUCCAG
rnacentral:rRNA from 1 species